ACGAACGCUGGCGGCGUGCUUAACACAUGCAAGUCGAACGGUGAAGCGAGUGCUUGCACUCGUGGAUCAGUGGCGAACGGGUGAGUAACACGUGAGUAACCUGCCCAUCACUCUGGGAUAAGCACUGGAAACGGUGUCUAAUACUGGAUACGACCAACCCUUGCAUGGGGUGUUGGUGGAAAGAUUAUCGGUGGUGGAUGGACUCGCGGCCUAUCAGCUUGUUGGCGGGGUAAUGGCCCACCAAGGCGACGACGGGUAGCCGGCCUGAGAGGGUGACCGGCCACACUGGGACUGAGACACGGCCCAGACUCCUACGGGAGGCAGCAGUGGGGAAUAUUGCACAAUGGGCGAAAGCCUGAUGCAGCGACGCCGCGUGAGGGAUGACGGCCUUCGGGUUGUAAACCUCUUUCAGCAGGGAAGAAGCGAAAGUGACGGUACCUGCAGAAGAAGCACCGGCUAACUACGUG
rnacentral:rRNA from 1 species